AUGAGAGUGGAGCUCUCAGUAAUGGGAUUAAUACUUUUAUAAAAGAGGCUUAAGAAAGCUCUUUAGACCCUUUCCACCGUGUGAAGACAAGUAAGAGGUGGGCAGUCUGCAACUCGGAAGAGGUCCUUCAUGAGAAUGUGACCAUGCCGGCACCAUGAUCCUGGACUCCCAGUCUCCAGAAUGGUCUUGUUCAAGAUUUGUGCUUUUUCGAGCCCUAAGAGAAUGUCUGAUCCAAGCACCAUUCCAAGUGCUGAUGGCUGAGAGUACAAAGACUUCCUGAGGUACAGGUCUGUGAUUCAACAGUCUUACACAAUUACCUUUUGAGUCAAGAGUCAACAAACUCCAUACAGCCUAGUGCCAAAUCUGGUCUGCUUUGAUACAGCCUCAAGUUCCUUCGCCGCCCCAGGUCCCCGACUCUCAGGUUUGACAAAUGGCACCCGAACAGGGACCUGAAGCCCCCGUCGAGGAGUGAUGGGCCAGCGAUAGGAACCCUACAGAAGGUGAUGGAUCCAGUCGAGCAAUCUGGAUACCUCUUUGGAAAGUCCGGCCCAGGACUGGCAAUAAAGACAACAGAAGAGGUGUCUCAGCUGCUGCAGGGAUUGACCACCCAACCCCCUGUCCGAGAGUUGGCAACACUCUCCUUGAAGAGACCUCGAAACUGAAAAUUGCCCCUGACAACACCCCCAACUUAGGGGCAACUGAAGACCCUCACUCAGAGGGCGGAGCGAGUCCUGGAGACAACCAGAUCUACCAAAACCCCUGAACAUUUGUUCCUGGCUAUGUUAGCAGUGGUGACAUGCGCCUCUGCGCAGUACGGAUUCCAUCCUUCUUCUCCAGGCCCAUAUGGGGGUCUGGAUCCUGGAUAUUGUACCCUCAAAAAACAAAUGAGUGCCCCAAAUCUCCAUCACAGAGUGCUUAUGACAGCGGCUAAUUUGAAAAAAGAAAGGGGGAGCUGUAGGAAACAGAACGCCACAACAACCUCUGGUGCGUGUUCACUCAGACUCCGAGAUCUCUGAGAAAACUCGAGAUUGCAGGGUUAAAAAUAACCCGAAAGGCUCAGAGUGAAAUGCCCUUGGGACGUGUGUGGUCAGUUCUAAAGUACGCAGCAGAAGAUGUCUUGUAGAUAGGAAGCCAGCUGCAAACAGCACACUGUGCACUCCCCUCUUUGUUCCCUUGCCCUGUAAAUUCCGUUUUAACGAUUCUUACGUGCUUGACUAAUCCUGGGUACCUGGAAGAAUGUGCCUUACUAUGCCCCUGCUGUAAAUCAUUAUAGAUCUAUAUUGCUGUAGAAGGUAUCUAAGAGUAUGGAAAAUAAACCUCGGCACCUCAGGCUGUUAGCUCGGGGUUCCCUGUGCCUUGCUUUUCUGUCGUCUAUUUUUCUCAGUUCCUUUGCUGCCCCAGGUCCCCGACUC